rnacentral:lncRNA from 1 species
UUAUCAAAACCGCGACUGACACAGUGUGCAGCAGGAGAGCGGAGGUGCAGGUUAAAGUGGUAAUUAAAUAAUGGAGGAGAUGAAAUGGAGAUGGCAAGUGGGACAGUUUUCUAUCUCUUUCCAGCCCUGAGCAGUUGGAACCAGAAGAGAGAUCACAAAGGAUGCAUAUGAUGCCUUGAUCUGCUUCAAGAUUCUGCCAAAAAGGCCAUCGCCAGAUGCAGACUCUCAAACUUGCACCUGUGGAACGGUGAACAAAAACUAUUUUACUUUUAUAAAUAUUGUGUCA